rnacentral:lncRNA from 1 species
GCGCGGCAGCAGGGUUGGGCUCUCGCCGUGAGUCGACGAAGGGAGCGCGGGCGCGCGCCCGCGUCCGCGCACUGAGAGUCGCCUCGGCCGCUCGCUUUCUCGACUCCCGCCUCGCGCCUCGAUCCUGUUCCGCCUCCCUCGGCCCUCCUGCCCGCCCCCACUCGUCGGCCCUCAGGUACCUAAAAUGUCUCAUUAUUCAUCAAUUAAUGAAAAACAAAUGAAAAUUUGAGAGAGAUAUUCUGAAGAAUAAAAGGAUCAAGUUGGGUCAUUUCUAAAAUCUCAGAGACCUAAUAGGAUGGGGUCUUAGAGAAACAUCUUUUGAGCCACAGACUUCUUUGUUACCAGAAGGAAAAUGAAAGAAGAAAUUUAAAUACCACUUGAAGAGAGGUAAAUAAAUGAGAAAUGGGGCUGAGAGGGCGGGUAUUUUUUUAAAAAUUCAUUAAAUGGAAAAAUCCACAAAUGUUAAUUCUGGUAGAUUUCUUAGAAAUUACAUCAGAGGAGCAUGCUUGGUCUUCCCACCCUCAUUAGGCCUCAGUGACAGGUACUUGAACAACUGAGCCCCUAAUGUGCAUGCUCCCCCACCCCUGAAGCCAGUCUCUGCCCUCCUCUUCCCUCCUCUUGCCCCUGGAAGCUGAUCGCCACCAACUGGCCUCUGGGUGGAUUUGGCCAAUGGAAGCACCUGUAGAGGGAAGAGAGUGAGGUUAGGAUAUUUCUUCCUGCUGUCUCCGUGCUUCCCUGCAGAGAGUGUGAAGAAAUGACCCUGAAAAGCCUCUGGCAGAGGAUUCUUCUUUCAGGAUGGUGUCGCCUCCUCAGCAGCCCAUCCUCCUCCCCUGGACUCAAGCUCUCAUUCCAGUAACACUCCUUCCUCCUUCUCCAUCUUCAGGGGGAGGUUUGCCAGUCGGUGGGUUCUAAGCAUAUCUCGCUGAUUCCCCCCAACCCUGCCGACACCUCUGUAGGUCGUCCCUUCAUUAAAAUCUCUCCAUUUGAACUAUCUGAGUUUAAUUCCAUUUCCUCCUGGUAUCUCAGUGAUACACGGUAUCAGUACAAAAAUCUCGCUUCACCUUCAGAACCAACAGAUUUGAGACAUUUUAUCCUCUGUGGAACCAUUAGUUAUUUUGUCAUUGGUUGUAUCAGAAAAAAAAAUCAGGAAUGCAAAUCCUUCUUUAUUACAGAUUCAGAUUUGCAUAUUACCAAUGUUAUAUAUUUUAAACAAAACUAUUCAUCAUAAGUUUUAAAAAUUAACUACUGGAGUAGUUAAUGAAUCUGAAUGUAAUUAUGUAGCUUUCAUAAUAUUAAAGUAAAAAUACUAAAAGAAGUAUUUCUUAAAGAAGCAAAUGCUCAAUCUCCAAGUAAAUUUUAUUCUAUGCUCUUCCGGUAUAAGAAUAUGUUAAUAUCUUGAAAAAUAUCAUAUUAUUUUGUGAACUCAUAAAGCUAUUUUGAGUUUUUGUAAAAUGAAAACCUUACCAAAAUGUAUUUUAUUGUUGGAAAGCUUGACCGUUACUGCUGUUUAAUUUUUUGAGCUUGUAAACUUUAUUUGUGCAUGUUUUCAACAAAGAAGGAUUUUAUUGUUAUUACAUAAAACAGGUGAUUUCUAGAUUUUAAAAUCACAAAUUGAAAGCAAGGCACAAUAAUAUAUAUUUCAAGAUAUAGGUACUUAGGAGGCAUCCUUUUAGUCAUCUGUUCAAUGUAGCCAUCUAUUUUACACCUACUGUCUACUAUUGUUUGAGGUCCUUGCCAAAGUAUUGCAGGCUAGUUAGGAAACAUAAAACAAUUAGAAAGUAAUCUAUGACAAGUAAGCUAUCUAUAAAUGGCAAUGAAGGGUAGAACAAAUUCAAUGAAAAUAUCUAUUUAAUCCUAGUGUUUACUGGUCUAGAAGAAUAGGCUGAGUAAAUUAGUAUUUCUCUGGCUGUUGUGGUAACACAUUGCAUGCUAUAACAGUUUUAAGUAAUUACAGGUGCAUUGAAAUUUAUCUAUGGCUUUGUCAUCAUAUUCUAAAAUGUCAUGAGUACUUUUUUCUGACCUCAAUUACUAUGAAAUUGGUUUCCAAUAUUUAAUUAACCAAGAAUAUCAAGUCUAUAGGGUAUUAUUAAGGUGAGACUUCUGUAGCCUUUUCAAUAAAGACCAGAAUUUUGGAGUGCCUUGAACCUUAAUCAUUGAUCUUUAAUUCUUAUUAAGUCAACUGCCCACCUUUUAAAGACUGAGGCCCAGGAAGAGUAAGUUUCUCUGAGACAAUGCAUACAGUACAGUGCUUCUUGGGUAUUGGCUCUAAGACCAGAUGCAAAGAAAGGCUAAAAUCCCAUUUCAUUGUUCAUUAGGUGAGAACCCUUUGUUAAGCUGUGUAACCUCUGUGCAUAGUUUCCUCAUCAGCAAAGUCAGAAAAAGUAUGUACCUGAAGGACUGAUUGUAAGGCUGGGAUGAGAGAAUCCAUGUGAUCAGCCCUCACCAACAGGUGCUGCCCAGUUCAUGAGUGCUGCUGCUGUCCUGCCCAAGUACCCAGCUUGCAGAGUGCCAGAGUUAGAGUCCCAGGGGUGUUCUCCACAGCUGCAUGCUUGAUCCAGGCCUAUCAGAUAUAUUCCAUUGAAAGUCCUCAUUCUCAAAUUUAAAACAAAGACUUUUUGUGUACCUCAAUAGCAAUGCACACACAGUUGGCUUCACAAACAUAUUGUACAUUUCUUUUUUUCAUAUUUAUUCAACAAAUGUAUAUUGACUACCCACCGUGUGACAGGUGUUAUUUGUUGACGGAACCAGGCAUCAUCAGCAAACAAAACUGACAAAGCUUCCUGCCCUCUGUGGAAGGCAUCUGAGGAAGAGACUGGAUUUUGUAGCAACAUGUUAUUCUCAUUAUAAACUUUAUCAUUGGAAUACUAAAGCCAAAUCAUCCCCCAUCUCCUUGAUCAGGAUACCCACUUAAUCUAGGCAGCUACACAAUUGUGAGAGCCUUUGUUUUUUUCUGCUGAAACAUCCUUAAAAAGAUACCUCACAACCCAAGAUUUGGCUUUUCUUAAAUACGAUUUUUAAUUUUUUUCAUUUCUAUCUAGAGAUUUAAUUGGAAAUGGAAAAUCAUCAAUUUUCCAAUUAAAUGUCUGUUCCAAUCAACAUUAUACCUUUUAGGUUGUCAUUGUCAUUUUUAAGUUUAAGCAACUUUAAGGAUUUUGAAUCUGGCUGCCUGUAAAUUAAAGGUGAAAGUAAUCAUUGUGUUGGAUUGGAACAUUUUGUCAAUUGAGAGUGGUUUCCUUGUUCUUAGUGUAUGAAAAGUUUAUUUUUCUAAUGUAGAUUAAUAAAGGAGAUAAAGAAAAACAAAAUG